rnacentral:sRNA from 1 species
GAUGUUGAAAAUGUUUUUUUAAAAAAUCUAACCUAGACCAUCCCAAAUUAUGAAUUACUGUUGUGUGAAACAGUGAGACUACUGUUUUUAUGCCACAGGUAUAUAAUUAUGCAAAUAAAUACUACAUCUUUGCAUUCAUUUUGGUUUUAUCGAAUUUUCAUUCCAGGAAUGUCUGAAUCUGAACAGGCUCUUAAAGGUACUUCUCAGAUUAAAUUACUCUCAUCUGAAGAUAUAGAAGGGAUGCGACUUGUAUGUAGGCUUGCUAGAGAAGUUUUGGAUAUUGCUGCUGGCAUGAUUAAACCAGGUGUAACUACUGAAGAAAUAGAUCAUGCUGUACACUUAGCAUGUAUUGCAAGAAAUUGCUACCCUUCUCCCCUGAAUUAUUAUAAUUUCCCAAAGUCUUGUUGUACCUCAGUGAAUGAAGUCAUUUGCCAUGGAAUACCAGACAGACGGCCCUUGCAAGAAGGUGACAUUGUUAAUGUGGACAUCACUCUUUAUCGCAAUGGUUAUCAUGGGGACCUGAAUGAGACAUUUUUUGUUGGAGAAGUGGAUGAUGGAGCACGGAAACUUGUUCAGACCAC